rnacentral:rRNA from 1 species
GAGUUUGAUCGUGGCUCAGGAUGAACGCUGGCGGCGUGCCUAAUACAUGCAAGUCGAACGAACAGAUAAGGAGCUUGCUCCUUUGACGUUAGCGGCGACGGGUGAGUAACACGUGGGUAACCUACCUAUAAGACUGGGAAUAACUCCGGGAAACCGGGGCUAAUGCCGGAUAACAUGUUGAACCGCAUGGUUCUACAGUGAAAGACGGUCUUGCUGUCACUUAUAGAUGGACCCGCGCCGUAUUAGCUAGUUGGUGGGGUAACGGCCUACCAAGGCGACGAUACGUAGCCGACCUGAGAGGGUGAUCGGCCACACUGGAACUGAGACACGGUCCAGACUCCUACGGGAGGCAGCAGUAGGGAAUCUUCCGCAAUGGGCGAAAGCCUGACGGAGCAACGCCGCGUGAGUGAUGAAGGUCUUCGGAUCGUAAAGCUCUGUUGUUAGGGAAGAACAAAUGUGUAAGUAACUGUGCAUAUCUUGACGGUACCUAACCAGAAAGCCACGGCUAACUACGUGCCAGCCGCCGCGGUAAU